AGAGUAGUAUAGAUUCCCGCAGAAAAUAGGGAUGAUGUCCCGUGGUGAAUUACGGUGAAAUAAAAUCCGACACGGUAUUCUCCGUUGCAUCCCUAUGCACGUGGGUCACGCGAACCGACCCUGUCCGUUCCCGCACGCCACUAGCAAAAGCCACACCCAACAAAAGGUAAACCACCGCGUCUCCGCCCGCCGCCGCCCGCAGAUCCAUCCCCUCCCGGCCUCCCUAGCCUUUCCCCUCGAGCACGUCAGCGCCCUCGCCCUGCUCUGUCGGCCGGCCAAGCUCCUCACCGGCGCCAUGAACCCGUAUGAUCUCCGCUUCGCUGACCCCUCAUCCUACCACGACAGGCGCAGCGACUUGACCGUGGCUCCUACGUUCGCUCCGCCGGCUCCCGUGGCUGCGGCGAACCUGAACCCUUACGCCGCCGCCUACCCGCUGCCUGUGCCCGUUCCCGUGCCCGCGGCCCCCGCGGGCGGCGACUACCAGCGCUACGGGCAGGGAGGCAGAGGCCGUGGUGGCGGUGGCAGAGGCGGUGGAGGAGGGUACGGAGGUGGCGGCAGAGGAGGAGGUCGCGGGAGGGACGGGCUUGACUCGCUCGCCCUCCCUAAGCCGGACUUUCGGAGCCUGAUACCGUUCGAGAAAAACUUCUACGUGGAGUGUCCCUCCGUCCAGGCAAUGUCGGAGGCGGAUGUGGCGCAGUACCGCCGCCUCCGGGAUAUCACCAUCGAGGGCCGGGAUGUGCCCAAGCCGGUUAGAUACUUCCAGGAAGCCAACUUCCCAGAUUACUGCAUGCAAGCUAUUGCCAAAUCUGGAUUUGUGGAGCCAACACCUAUUCAAUCUCAAGGUUGGCCUAUGGCUUUGAAGGGUAGGGACCUGAUUGGUAUCGCUCAAACAGGCUCAGGGAAAACAUUAUCUUAUCUGUUACCUGGGUUGGUUCAUGUUGGUGCCCAGCCUCGGCUAGAACAAGGCGAUGGCCCAAUUGUAUUAAUUCUCGCUCCCACGAGAGAACUGGCUGUUCAAAUACAGGAAGAAUCUACAAAAUUUGGAUCAUAUUCAAGAACUAGAAGCACAUGUGUCUAUGGUGGUGCACCUAAGGGUCCACAAAUACGGGACCUUAGAAGAGGAGUUGAAAUUGUCAUUGCAACUCCUGGCCGGUUGAUUGAUAUGCUGGAAGCUGGUCACACAAACCUACGUAGAGUGACAUACCUUGUGUUGGAUGAGGCGGACCGGAUGCUAGAUAUGGGGUUUGAGCCCCAAAUUCGGAAAAUAGUAGCACAGAUCCGCCCAGACAGGCAAACCUUGUACUGGAGUGCCACAUGGCCUAGAGAAGUUGAAGCCUUAGCAAGACAGUUUCUACAAAAUCCUUACAAGGUAAUCAUAGGCUCACCUGAACUUAAAGCUAAUCAUUCCAUACAACAAAUUGUUGAAGUUAUUUCAGAUCAUGAGAAGUAUCCAAGACUCAGUAAGCUCUUGUCUGAUCUAAUGGAUGGGAGCCGUAUCUUGAUAUUCUUCCAAACAAAAAAGGAUUGCGAUAAGAUCACCCGGCAGCUUAGAAUGGAUGGGUGGCCAGCAUUAUCUAUACAUGGUGAUAAAGCUCAAGCUGAACGGGACUAUGUUCUUGCAGAGUUUAAGAGCGGCAAGAGCCCCAUAAUGGCUGCCACAGAUGUGGCAGCACGUGGUCUUGGUAUGAUGAUUUAUUUGAAUAUUAGGAUUAGGUAGUAGUUCCAAGUGCUCAAGGGUGAUAAGUCGGAGGGUUGUUGAGCUGCGAUUGGUUGAGUGAACUGAACUUGUGGAUUGGUGGUGUAUACCAAGGUGCCAUCAUGUCAAAGAUGUGAAGGACAUAAAGUGUGUGAUAAAUUAUGAUUUUCCAACAACUCUUGAAGAUUAUAUUCACAGGAUAGGUCGAACUGGCCGUGCUGGUGCUAGCGGAACUGCAUUUACUUUUUUCACACACGCAAAUGCAAAGUUCUCAAGGAAUCUAGUGAAGAUUCUGCGAGAAGCUGGCCAAGUUGUGAAUCCUGCCUUAGAAUCCAUGUCCAGGUCUUCGAACUCAACGGGAGGAGGCAAUUUUCGGUCGAGAGGCAGAGGUGGGUUUGGUAACCGGGGCCAUAUGUCUGGAUCAAAUACCUUUCCUUUAGGAGGAAGAAGGCCAUAUUGAUGUGUGCAAAAGAACUGUGGGAGUAUGGGACUAUUUGUAUACUACUCGGCAUUAAGUGCAUUCUUUGGGAAAUUUCUGAGAAAUUUCCCCUACUACCAGGAUUGAUAACACCAUCGAUUUUCGCUACAGUACCUGGAGCUUCUUAUAUGAAAGAACAACACAUCAACUAUCUAGCAACAGCAUAUGCAUUCCAUUCAGAUAUUUCUUUUGGAAGGACCCUGUCUUGUUUUAGUGGAGUCCCUGUGAUCGUUUAAAGUCGUCUGUAUACUUGUACUGAACUUCUUGUGGUGUUACUGUUAGGAUUUAUGGUUGCUCUCUAUUGGUGUGCGGUGUUACUGAACAAAUUUAGUUAAGAAGUUAGGCAUUUCCAUAUUUAAUCUGAUUCUGAAAUAAACUAGCAAA